CAUCUACUUUCUUCCUGAGUAGAGCUGCCUCGUGAUCUAUCCACCCGAGAGAGUCUGUGUGGGCGUUGAGGAUGCGCACUAUCUGUGUGAACUGUGUGUGUGUGUGAGGGGGCAGGUGUGUGGGGAGUGUGGAUGAGAUACAGCAUGCACAGUGGUGUAACUUAAUUACUGGAUUUUCAUCAUCUGCUGAAGUAUUUGAUUUGUUCAUUUGCUCGAUAAUCAUCUUCAGAUCUGUAGACAUUUGUUUGAGUUGAGAGUCCACUGUUUCAGCCAUAGUGAACCUGAGGAGGGAAUGGAGGGGUCACUAUACACACACCCACACACGGGCAAGGAAUGACGGUGAACAACACGCACGCACACAUGCGUGGAGGGAUUGCUGCUAUUAUGGCUGCUAACGAUAGCUUUGUCUCAAACACAGGCAGCAAUGUAUAGUGUUACAGUGGGAGGUGGGUCAGUGUACACAGUCAACAAGUGACACGGCCGAAAUACAGCGGAGUAGAGGUUAAUGAGAAUACAGGGGAUUAGAGGUUAAUGAGAAUAACGUACCGAGAGAGUUAAUUACUCCUUAUAA